AGAGUUUGAUCCUAGCUCAGGAUGAACGUUAGUAGUAUGCCUAACACAUGCAAGUCGAGCGGGAAGCAAUAGCAAUAUUGUUUCUAGCGGCGAACUGGUGAGUAAUACUUAUCUUACCUACCGUUUAGUGGGGGACAACCGAAGGAGACUUUGGCUAAUACCGCAUAUUCUGGUUUCGACCAGGAAAGGAUUUCGGUUCGCUAAAUGAUGGGGAUAAGGCGUAUUAGUUAGUUGGUAGGGUAAUGGCCUACCAAGACCAUGAUGCGUAGCCAGGCUGAGAGGCUGAUUGGCCACAGAGGAACUGAGACACGGUCCUCACUCCCAAAGGGAGGCAGCAGUGGGGAAUUUUCGGCAAUGGGGGAAACCCUGACCGAGCAAUACUACGUGAAGGAAGAAGGUCUACGGAUUGUAAACUUCUGUUAGCGCAGAAAAAGGCUGGGUGUAAAUCCAGUUUGAUGGUAUGCGCAGAGAAAGCCACGACUAACUACGUGCCAGCAGUCGCGGUAAGACGUAGGUGGCGAACGUUAUCCGGAAUCAUUGGGCGUAAAGGGUGCGUAGGCGGCAUGAUAAGUUAUUGGCGGGAAAUCGAGGCUCAACCUCGUGGAAACUGAUAAUACUGUCUUGCUUGAGUGCAGGAGAGGUUAACGGAAUUCUUUGUGGAGGGGUAAAAUCCAAAGAUAUAAAGGAGAACAUCAAUAACGGCGAAGGCAGUUAACUAUUCUGUUACUGACGUUGAGGCACGAAAGCGUGGGGAGCAAAACGGAUUAGAUACCCGUGUAGUCCACGCCCUAAACGAUGAGUGCUAGAUAUUGGGAACUUGAUUCUCAGUGUCGCUAGUUAACACAUUAAGUACUCCGCCUGGGUAGUACAGUCGCAAGGCCGAAACUCAAAGGAAUUGACGGGGACUCGCACAAGCAGUGGAGCAUGUGGUUUAAUCCGAUACAACGCGUAGAACCUUACCAAGGUUUGACAUGUCCGGCAAAACUGUGGAAACACAGCGGAGGUUAUCCGGACACAGGUGCUGCAUGGCCGUCGUCAGUUCGUGCCGUGAGGUGUAUGGUUAAGUCCUAUAACGAACGCAACCCUUGGACUUAGUUGCCAGCAUUCAGUUGGGGACUCUAGGUCGACUGCCUGAGCAAUCAGGAGGAAGGAAAGGAUGACGCCUGGUCGUCAUGGCCCUUAUGCCUUGGGCGACACACGUGCUACAAUGGCUAACACAAAGGGAUGCCAACCCGCGAGGGGGA
rnacentral:rRNA from 1 species